AAACUCAAAGGAAUUGACGGGGGCCCGCACAAGCGGAGGAACAUGUGGUUUAAUUCGAUGAUACGCGAGGAACCUUACCCGGGCUUGAAAGUUAGUGACGGUGGUCGAAAGAUCACUUCCCUUCGGGGCACGAAACUAGGUGCUGCAUGGUUGUCGUCAGCUCGUGCCGUGAGGUGUCGGAUUAAGUUCCAUAACGAGCGCAACCCUUGCCGUUAGUUGCCAUCAGGUUAUGCUGGGCACUCUAACGGGACUGCCGGUGUAAGCCGAGAGGAAGGUGGGGAUGACGUCAAAUCAGCACGGCCCUUACGUCCGGGGCGACACACGUGUUACAAUGGUCGGUACAGAGGGCAGCUACCCAGCGAUGGGAUGCGAAUCUCGAAAGCCGAUCUCAGUUCGGAUCGGAGGCUGAAACUCGCCUCCGUGAAGUUGGAUUCGCUAGUAAUCGCGCAUCAGCCAUGGCGCGGUGAAUACGUUCCCGGGCCUUGUACACACCGCCCGUC
rnacentral:rRNA from 1 species